UAGGGAAUAUUGGACAAUGGGGGCAACCCUGAUCCAGCCAUGCCGCGUGAGUGAAGAAGGCCCUCGGGUUGUAAAGCUCUUUUGUCCGGAAAGAAAAGCUUCGGGUUAAUACCCCGGGGUUCUGACGGUACCGGAAGAAUAAGCACCGGCUAACUUCGUGCCAGCAGCCGCGGUAAUACGAAGGGUGCAAGCGUUACUCGGAAUUACUGGGCGUAAAGCGUGCGUAGGUGGUUGCUUAAGUCUGAUGUGACAGCCCUGGGCUCAACCUGGGAAUGGCAUUGGAAACUGGGCAGCUAGAGUGCGGUAGAGGGUAGUGGAAUUCCCGGUGUAGCAGUGAAAUGCGUAGAGAUCGGGAGGAACAUCGGUGCCGAAGGCGACUGCCUGGACCAGCACUGACACUGAGGCACGAAAGCGU
rnacentral:rRNA from 1 species